GCUAUUCAAGAAGCGAGGGGUAAUCCCUUAAGAGGCCCCUUGAAAGCCUUAAAACAUCAUUUCCGACAAUCUGAGUCAAAGACCUCAAAUGAUUAAGAAGCAAAAAGUGACCCUAUAAGAAGACCUUUGAAAAGUCCCUUGUACAGGAGGUGAGUUGAGCUAAAAAUUUUGACCAUUUGAGAAGUGAGGGGUAACACCAUAAGAAAAUCCUUGAAGCCCUAAAAUCUCAUCUAUGAUGAUUUAGACCAAAGACCUAGGAUGUCCAAGAAGCGAGAGAUAGCUCCAUAAGAGGAUCCACAGGUAGUCCCUUAUCGCUAAGACAAGUUGAGCUAAAAAAUUUGACUAUCCAAAAGUGAGGGGUAACUGUAUAAGAGGGCCCUUAAAAGUCUUAAAAUAUUAUCUCUGAUAAUCCAGAUCGAAGAUCUUGGAUGACUAAGAAACGAAGGAUAACCCCAUAAGAGGACCCCUAAAAAGUCCCUCAUCCUGAAAAUGAGUUGAGCUGAAAUUCAAUCUUGGCUAUUUGAGAAUCGAAGGGUAACCCCAUAAGAGAACACUCAAAAGUCUUAAAAUAUCUUCUCUAAUGAUGACAACCCAAUCUAGAGUAGCCCUGAGCCCUAAGAUGAGUAGAGCUACGAAUAACUAUGGUGGAAAGAAAUCCUAGGAUUUGGUGAUCCGUCUAUGUUCUAGAAUUAAUUUGAUACAUGAUAUUUUUUUUUCUAGAGAAAAAGGAGAAAGAGAGGGCUUGUAAAGAAGAAAGAUUAUUGAUGAUCUUUAUUUCUUCUUAUGCCUCUCUUUUUAUAGACUAGGAGCAGACGGUUACAAAAGUAGAAUCUCUUGGGUAAUUUUGGAUUCAAAAUACUAAAAUAGAAUCUCUUGGAUAAUUUUGGAUUCAAAAUACAAAAAUAGAAUUUUUUGAAUAAUUUUGGAUUCAAAACUUAUGAGAAAUUAUUUAGAUCCACCAUUUAUGGUGAAUUGAUUUUUUGCCUUCCCAAUCCACCCAAGAUUUUUUUUCUUCUUGCAUUUCGGGUUACCCAUUUUGUGCGGCCUGAUUUUCUCUUGAUCCUCCC
rnacentral:lncRNA from 1 species